CCCUGAGUAGUAUACAUUGGGGGACGGGGACGCGGCACGGACUUUAAUGCUCCUGUAAAAUGUAGUUGUGUAAUUUAUUUUUAAAAAUUUCUUUUUCUGAAUUAAAGUUUGAAUGUUAUAUUUUUAUUCAGAAAAAGAAAAUCUCAAAAAUAAGUUACGGAACUAUGUUUUAUAAGAGCAUUGAAAUGCGUGUCGAGCAGUUGAAAAGAAAC
rnacentral:lncRNA from 1 species